AAAGUAUGUAAUAUUUAAAAAUUGUGUAACUAGAUUCAGAAGAGUGUUACUUGCUUAGCUGAAUGAACAACGGAGUUCAGUUGGUGAACCCACCACCUGCCCCUGUAACCCCACUGUGGGUUAUCAGCUGGACAACCAGUAGGUGAUCGACCCAUAACUCUGGAAUACUUUCUAACUCAAGGCUUUCUUAAUCUUAACUAGAAAUAUAGCCGUACCACAGCUAUGCUUUUUGCCAUUUAAGGGGCUCGUUGUACGAGGAGUAUUUUUCCAAGUAUGAAAAAUAGUGAAAAUUUUACACAGAUCUCCCAUUAUUUGGCAUUAGCGUCGUGAAAAUUUCAUCCCAAUAUGUUAAGAAAUGGAUUUUUUAUACAAUUUUUUUUAUUAAAUGCGUCCGCGAUUGGCAGUAACCGGUAGUGAUAAUAACCAUAACACCUCCUAUUUACUAGCAAUUAGGGAUAAGGAGAUGCAUGCACCUGUCUGACUCACAAACGAGACAAGUAGUAGAAAGGUCUACAAAUUGGAUAUGCAGCUGGUGCCACCUGGAGGACCAGAUGUCACACACAAUAAUGAGUUAUUAUGCUGUAUUUUAUUAUAUAUUAUAUAAAUACAUUGCCCAAUGACAAUAUUUCUUAUGUCCCUCUGUACGAAAAGAUGACAACCACUUUUUUUCUCCUCUCCUGGACAGAAGUUGUGACAUCUAUUUCUUUUUGAUCGAUUUAUUUACAGAUUUCAAACUCUAUUUUCUUUGUCUAAUUAGGUUGUAUUGAUGAAUGAGGACCAGAUGAGAUCCUUAUCACUUAUAUAUGGGCAAUAAAGUUACUGCAAUAUAUAUGUUUCCUUAAAGAACAUAAGAAUGAAGGUAACUGCAUAAGGCUUACUGGCCCAUACGAGGCAGCUCCUAUUUAUAUCCACCCAAUCUCAUUCAUGUAUAUGUCUAACCUACUGUUAGACACUUAAGGGGCCCAGUGUCUGUUUUACAGUUAUCACUAACGUAUCCCUAUAUUUAGUUUUUUGGUGGGUUAUUUUUUCUUGACAUCAUAUCAACACAUGUUGACCUACAACUUUCUUAUAUUCGAGUACGAGUGCCAAGAAAUGUUUAUUAAAACAUACAAGAAAAUUCAUUAAUUAGAACUACCCAUAUUCAUUGUCAAUAUCUUCAACUUCAAUUAUCUCUAAAACACGAAUUUCAAAUUUAAGACUUUACUAAAAAAUUCAGUUUCUGACAGAUUCUCACCAUUUUUACCUACUAUGUGCAGAGUUCUUAGUUCUAAUGUUUCCUUGUCAUCGUUUAGUCAUAAAAUCGUAACUUUUGGAAUUAUAAAUAUUUUGCUUAUAAAUUUGGCAGACAUUUGGAAGGCCACAUUCAAAAAAUGUUUUAGAGUAAACUAUACUCUUAAACAAUAAUUUUCGGCAAGGAACAUGAACGUUAUAUGCCAUUCUGGGACCAUAAUGAAUAAAAUAUCAAUUGGUCUUAUUAUAAUAUAUCAGUUAGUAAUUUGAAGUUGUGAAAUUUGAUGUUUUUCAUUUGUUUUCUUUCCAUUGUAUAAUGUUGAUCCAUUAGGAAAAGUUGGAUCAUUUACCAUGAAGAUGCACAACACAAACUGAGUGUGUUUGAGGACGUUUUGGUGCACGUGCACCCGGCCCCUUAGAGGUGAGAGGACCUCUCCUGUUGCUGCGGGAGAGACUCAUGGGGGGAACGUUUCUCUCACCGUGGGAGGACAUUUGCUGUGCGAGAUUCACUCCAAACUAAAAAGGUACCAGGACGUGGCGAGAGCACACCUGGAGAAAACCCAGCUCAAUAUGAAGCAGCACCAUGAUAAGAAGUUCCGGGCGAAGUGCAGAUGUUUCAAGCCAGCUUUGUGGAGAUGUUGGGCCACUUGAAUGAAGAGAAACGGGGAGAGAUGCAAACUCUGCUAGACGAGUAUGGUUUUUAUGUUUGGAGAGGUGCCGACCCAGACCCAUGUCAUUAGCCAAGAUAUUCAGCUCACAGACACCAGGCCUAUUCGUAUGCACCCCUACAGAGUGUCGCCAGAGAAGAGGGCUAUUAUGAGGAAAAAAGUGGAGUUCCUCCUAGAACAUGGUCUCGUUAAAUCUAGCCAAAGUUGCUGGUGCUCUCCCUGUUUGUUGGUUCCCAACCGGAUGGGAAGUGGCGCCUGUGUAUUGAUUACAGGCGACUGAACAUGGUAACUGAAGUAGACGUUGUCAUGUUCACAGAAAAUGGUACCAUCCGUUUUCUAUGUGCGGCGGCUGAGACGCCAGAGGGAGAGAGAAGGUAAACAA
rnacentral:lncRNA from 1 species